rnacentral:rRNA from 1 species
UACGGGGGGUGCGAGCGUUGUCCGGAAUCACUGGGCGUAAAGGGCGCGUAGGUGGUUUGUUAGGGUGGGGGUGAAAGUCCGGGGCUCAACCCCGGAUCUGCCAUGCCGACUGUCAAACUCGAGGGCUGUAGAGGCAGACGGAAUUCCGGGUGUAGCGGUGGAAUGCGUAGAGAUCCGGAGGAAGACCGGUGGCGAAGGCGGUCUGCUGGGCAGUUUCUGACACUGAGGCGCGACAGCGUGGGGAGCAAACAGG